ensembl:lncRNA
CUAGUUGCUAAGGACCAGCACAUGACCAGUUUAAACCAGCUCAUAACCAGCUCAGGACCAGCUUUAAUCAGCUCAAAAUAUACCUGACCAACAUAUGCAGUUUUUUUUUUUUUUUUCAAAAGGGCAAACAGUUGCUGGUAGCAUUUGACUUCCAUGAUAUAUAUAUAAAAAAUACUAUGGAAGUCAAUGGCUACAGCAACUGUUUGGUUACCAACAUUCUUCGAAAUAACUUUUUUUGUGUUUAAUAGAAGAAAAAAAAUCAUACAGGUUUAGAACAACAUGAGGGUGUAGAACAACGUUCCAUGGUUUCAUUGUAGGUCUCCAGCAGUAUUGAUUUUAUUUUGCCCUCCCUUUUCCUUUCAUUCAUUCAUCUUUUCUCUCUGCCUCUUCUUUCUCCUCAUGGCAGAUGUCAGCAGCCUACUCUCCCCUCAGUGGGAACAGGAGGCAGCCCACUCACACUCCCGCUUGCGUCACGGAAAGAAGAGAGGCUUCCGAAAGUGGAAGACAGAUGGGAGAGGCAUCCAUUGAUGAGAACUAAAUCCACACAGACUGCGACUGAGGCAUUUGACACUUCUGUACUAAUGCAUUAAUGAGUGGUAAUGUGAGAGUUGUGCUCAUAAGAUGCAGAUGAGUAAUGCGAGAGGAAGAAACCUGUUACAUAUGGAGGACUCAAUGAGAGUGUACAACAUCAUCUGGCUCUCUGAAUUGCCAUCGCCAUGGCAACCUGAUGCACAUCCGUAUGACAUCACAGCCCACUCAGUCAAACUAACAGGGACAGAAUGUGAUUUGAGAGCACACUCUGUGUGAGCACCUGCGGUCUACAAGACUCUCUUGGUUGGGAAGGAACAGUUUAUUGAAACAAAAUAUUAGUAAAAAUCCAGAAAAGGUUUGCUUAUUUGUUUUUUGUUGAGUAUCAUAUUUGAUACAUUAGGCUUUUAUGGCUCCUAUAGUUUGAUAUAAAUUACAUUUACAUUUAGUCAUUUAGCAGAUGCUUUUAUCCAAAGCGACUUACAAAUGAGGACAAUGAAAGCAUAAAUGAAUAUGAAGCUAAAACUCGAGGGGAACAACCUUUGUUUAUAUUUAU